rnacentral:rRNA from 1 species
UAGGGAAUCUUCCACAAUGGACGCAAGUCUGAUGGAGCAACGCCGCGUGAGUGAAGAAGGUUUUUCGGACCGUAAAGCUCUGUUGUUGGUGAAGAAGGAUAGAGGUAGUAACUGGCCUUUAUUUGACGGUAAUCAACCAGAAAGUCACGGCUAACUACGUGCCAGCAGCCGCGGUAAUACGUAGGUGGCAAGCGUUGUCCGGAUUUAUUGGGCGUAAAGCGAGCGCAGGCGGAAGAAUAAGUCUGAUGUGAAAGCCCUCGGCUUAACCGAGGAAUUGCAUCGGAAACUGUUUUCUUGAGUGCAGAAGAGGAGAGUAGAACUCCAUGUGUAGCGGUGGAAUGCGUAGAUAUAUGGAAGAAUACCAGUGGCGAAGGCGGCUCUCUGGUCUGCAACUGACGCUGAGGCUCGAAAGCAUGGGUAGCGAACAGGAUUAGAUACCCUGGUAGUCCAUGCCGUAAACGAUGAGUGCUAAGUGUUGGGAGGCUUCCGCCUGCUCAGUGCUGCAGCUAACGCAUUAAGCACUCCGCCU